rnacentral:rRNA from 1 species
UCCCAGUGAAAAAUGCCCUUACACAGUACAAACGGAGCAGGUAUCAGGCACAACUACUAGCCCAAGACACCAAGCUUUGCCACACCCACACGGGCCAUCAGCAGUGAUAGACAUUAAGCAAUAAGCGAACACACCAAAUAUUUACUAAAGCUUGACUUAGUUAUGAUUAAACAGGGCCGGUAAACCUCGUGCCAGCCACCGCGGUUAUACGAGGGGCCCAAAGCAGCAGAAUCGGCGUAAAUAGUGGCUAGAAUCUAUACCAAUAUGUUAAAAACUAAACCAUAUCCUAACCGUAAAACACAGGAUAAAUGAAACCACACACUCUUAACAACAGGUAAUUUGACCCACGAAAACUAAGAAACAAACUAGGAUUAGAUACCCUACUAUGCUUAGUCGUUAAUACGAUAUUACACUACUAAAAUAUCCGCCAGAAAACUACGAGCGAAAAGCUUAAAACUCAAAGGACUUGGCGGUGCUUCAUACCGACUUAGAGGAGCCUGUCCUAUAAUCGAUACCCCACGCUAAACCCGACCAAUCUUUGCCCAAUCAGCCUAUAUACCGCCGUCGCCAACCUACCUCAUGAGAGAAAAACAGUAAGUACAAGAGUCUCAAUAACUAAAACGUCAGGUCAAGGUGUAGCUAAUAGAAUGGAAGAGAUGGGCUACAUUUUUUAAGAUAAAACAUACGGCAUGGCACUAUGAAAUUUCUACCUGAAGGAGGAUUUAAUAGUAAAACUAACAAGAAAGUUAAUUUUAAACACG